rnacentral:rRNA from 1 species
CCCCCGGGUCCGAGUUGUAAUUUGCAGAGGAUGCUUUGGGCGAGGUGCCUUCCGAGUCUGGUCGGACACCGAGCCCGUGUAAAGCUCCUUCGAC